rnacentral:rRNA from 1 species
GGGAAUAUUGCACAAUGGGGGAAACCCUGAUGCAGCGACGCCGCGUGAGUGAGGAAGUAUUUCGGUAUGUAAAGCUCUAUCAGCAGGGAAGAAAAUGACGGUACCUGACCAAGAAGCCCCGGCUAACUACGUGCCAGCAGCCGCGGUAAUACGUAGGGGGCAAGCGUUAUCCGGAUUUACUGGGUGUAAAGGGAGCGUAGGCGGCUGUGUAAGCCAGAAGUGAAAGCCCGAGGCUCAACCACGGGACUGCUUUUGGAACUGUGUGGCUGGAGUGUCGGAGAGGCAGGCGGAAUUCCUAGUGUAGCGGUGAAAUGCGUAGAUAUUAGGAGGAACACCAGUGGCGAAGGCGGCCUGCUGGACGAUGACUGACGUUGAGGCUCGAAAGCGUGGGGAGCAAACAGG